rnacentral:rRNA from 1 species
GAUGAACGCUGGCGGCGUGCCUAAUACAUGCAAGUCGAGCGAACGGACGAGAAGCUUGCUUCUCUGAUGUUAGCGGCGGACGGGUGAGUAACACGUAGAUAACCUACCUAUAAUACUGGGAUAACUUCGGGAAACCGGAGCUAAUACCGGAUAAUAUUUUGAACCGCAUGGUUCAAAAGUGAAAGACGGUCUUGCUGUCACUUAUAGAUGGAUCCGCGCUGCAUUAGCUAGUUGGUAAGGUAACGGCUUACCAAGGCAACGAUGCAUAGCCGACCUGAGAGGAUGAUCGGCCACACUGGAACUGAGACACGGUCCAGACUCCUACGGGAGGCAGCAGUAGGGAAUCUUCCGCAAUGGGCGCAAGCCUGACGGAGCAACGCCGCGUGAGUGAUGAAGGUCUUCGGAUCGUAAAACUCUGUUAUUAGGGAAGAACAGAUGUGUAAGUAACUGUGCACAUCUUGACGGUACCUAAUCAGAAAGCCACGGCUAACUACGUG